AAGGCUCCUAUUUCAUUGUUGUGAUAUUGAUGAUUCCGAAACACAUUGUUGAUGUACCAAUGAGUCUUUAUUACAUCGUUAUUGUAUAGAAAGUCUAUUACUUGGUUCCUAUUGAUGUAUCAUUAUUCCAAAGGUACUAUAUUGGCAUGAACACUAAUGUAAUAAUCUCAAAAGCUUUUGAACUAAGUUAUUGGAAAGAUCUCUUAUGUGUGUUACUUGAUAUACGUGUGGGUGGUAGCUCAGGGGCUUAAGCCUAGCAUGGGCCGAUCCCGAUAUUUGAUAUGAUUACAGUUGAUAUGUACUGGGGGCAGCCUAAUGGUCACAGUACGGUACAGUAUUGAUUAUUGUUAGGUGGUUGGAGGUUCGGGAGGAGGAGGUAAUGGCGAAUGAUAAUUGUAAAGAAUAAAAUGAACGAAUGUAUACCGUUCCACAAAUGUGUUUGAAUUCAAGAACCCAAUUCAGAUUAAUGAUAAUGUACAUGAUCCUAAAAGUGUUUAUGAAGUGUGGUUCACUUCUAUUAUGAUUUAUUCACUUGCGUCUGAUUUUCUUGAUCCCCCAUAUCACAUAUGAUUAUUUACAGCUUUACAUACUCAGUACAUAUUUCGUACUGACGUCCCUCACGGGGGACCUACAUUUCAUGCUGCAGGCACAGGUGCUUCAGCUCAUUCACAACAUAAAUAGGAGCCAGGUCAUACAGCUAUUGUUGGUGAGCUCCAAUUUGCUUCGGAGCUUGCCGAGUCGGUCCCUUAUGUUUUGUUAUUGUACAGGAGUCAUGUGUGGGCGGGGGUUUGUCCCGACCCUAGUUAUGUCAUGUAUAUCCUAGAGGCUUUGUAGACAUAAGGAAGGGUAAAGUCAUGGAAGUUCAUAUAGUGAUGUUAUAUUUUUAUAUGUGGUGGCCCCGACGGCCAAGUAUUAUAUAUAUAUAUUUGUGCGUGUUGUGCUGAUACAGGUAAUUAGACCCUUCUAUAUGCAACGAAGUGCUGGCCAAAUUUUUGGUGACAUGAAAGUGAAAGUACAGGUAUUUAAACGGGUUCUCCCGGGCCUUCUCGGCUUCGGGUGCCAGUCCGGCCCGAUGGGAUUUUGGGGCGUGACAAAAGUGGUAUCAGAGAGGUUCGUCCUAGUGAGUCUACAAAGCCGUGUCUACGUAGGGUCUUGUUUAUCGGUGUGUUGUGCACCACAUCUAUAAACAGGAGGCUAUGGACAUUUAGGAAUUGUUUCUUUUCUUCAUGUCUUAGAUCGUGCGAUAGAGCUUAUAUUGUAUAUGAAGUCAUAGUUGACCACUGAAUCAGUUUGUUUCUCUUAUUAUAGUAAUGAUGCCGGUUACCAGAAGCAAGAAUACCGGUAAGCAAGUAGAUGUGGCUGCCGGAGAGGGGACUAGUAAGUCACCCACUAUACCAGCUAAUCAAAGUGAGGCUCCAGCUGAGCAUGCAUCAGAAACUUCCUCCAGUCCGGAAGAAAUAAGGGGGAGGAGAACUAUAUCCGCAGAGCCACCUAUUAAUGUUGUUGAUCAAGAUCUUAGAAAUGCAGUGCAACUUUUGACUCGUAUAGUUGCUGGGCAAGCUCAAGGGCAAGCCAUUCCUACUGCAGGUCCUAGUGGUAUAGAUAGGGCGGCUAGCCUUCGAACACAGGAUUUUCUUAAGAUGGAUCCUCCCACUUUUACUGGAUCAGAUCUUAACGAGGACCCACAGGACUUUAUCGAUCAAAUUCAAAGGGCCUUGGAUGUUAUGCAUGUAACGGGUAGAGAGACAGUGGAGUUAGCGGCGUAUAGAUUUAAAGGGGAGGCUAUAUAUUGGUAUGAGGACUGGAAACGAUCUAGGGGUAUUGAUGCACCCCCAGCUACUUGGAAGGAGUUCAAAGAGGCAUUUCUUGAUCAUUAUCUUCCAUUCGAGAUUCGUCAGGCCCGUGCAGAUCAGUUUUUAAAUCUUCGUCAGGGGAAUAUGAGCGUGAGGGAGUACAGUCUUCGAUUUAAUUCCUUGUCGAGAUAUGCUCCUAAUGUUGUAGCUACUAUGGUUGACAGAGUUCAUCAAUAUGUGGAUAGGCUAGAUCCAUAUCUGGUUAGAGAUUGUACUAUUGCUGCUUUGAACAAAGAUAUGGACAUAGCGAGAAUCCAAGCUUUUGCACAAAAAAUGGAAGAUCAGAGGCAGAGGAGAAGAACACAGGAAUCAGAAAGAGGAUAUUCCAAGAGGGCCAGAUCUACAGGGCAGUUCAUGGCAUUCGAAAGAGGGUUCAGACCACAGUUUUCUGCUAGACCACCUAGGCCAUUAUCCUCUUAUUCUACAGCUAGUGCCCCACCACAGUUCCAAGGGUUCAGAGGAAAUCAAUUUGGGCACAGAAGUGAGAGUCAGAGUUCGCGGACAGUGGGGUACCAAGGUCAAGGGAAUAUGAGCCAAUCAAGACCUCCUCGAGAGCCAUGCAAUAAAUGUGGAAGGUAUCAUUUGGGCGCAUGUCGGCUGGGGACCAAUGUUUGCUUUUGGUGCGGUAUGUCGGGGCAUAUGAUGAGGGAAUGCCCACGAAGGGACAUAGGGGGUAUGGCACGACCUACGGGGUCAUUUGUUGCAUCAUCAUCAUCGAUGCCUUAUUCAGGAAGGGGUGCACAGCCAAUGGGUCGUGUUAGAGGUGAUAGAGGAGCCACGAGUUCUAGCGGGGCUCAAAAUCGUACGUAUGCUCUAGCAGAUCGACAGAAUUUAGAGGCUUCUCCAGAUGUGGUUACGGGUAUGUUGGCUAUAUUUUCAUUCAAUUUAUAUGCCUUAAUUGAUCCCGGUUCUACAUUAUCUUAUGUUACUCCAUUGGUUGCUGGAAAGUUCGAAAGAAUACCCGAACUGUUAGUUAAGCCAUUUGAAGUGUCCACACCGGUCGGGGAAUCUAUUAUAGCUAGAAGGGUUUAUCGAAACUGCAUAGUAACUGUUUGUGGUCGUGAUACGAUGGCUGAUCUUGUGGAGUUAGAAAUGGUAGAUUUUGAUGUUAUAAUGGGUAUGGACUGGUUGGCGUCUUGUUAUGCCACAAUUGAUUGCUGCACGAAAAAGGUAUAUUUCCAUUUUCCAAAUGAAUCAGUCCUUGAAUGGAAAGGUGAAAUUAGCGUGCCAAGAGGUAGAUUUAUUUCUUAUUUUAAGGCGAGAAGAAUGAUUUCCAAGGGAUAUAUAUAUCAUUUAGUUAGAGUAAGGGAUACAGAAGCGGAGCCACCAACUCUUCACGCUGUUCCGGUGGUAAAUGAAUUUUCUGAUGUAUUUCCUGAAGAUCUUCCAGGUUUGCCUCCUGAACGAGAAGUAGAGUUUGGUAUUGAUGUAAUACCAGGCACCCAACCAAUCUCCAUUCCUCCGUAUAGAAUGGCCCCAGCAGAAUUACGAGAAUUGAAAGAGCAAUUGAAAGAUUUGCUAGAAAAGGGGUUCAUUAGGCCUAGUAUUUCCCCUUGGGGAGCACCAGUGUUAUUUGUACGCAAAAAGGAUGGCUCGCUGAGGAUGUGUAUUGAUUAUCGGCAAUUGAAUAAGGUGACUAUUAAGAAUAAAUAUCCUCUCCCAAGAAUUGAUGAUUUAUUUGAUCAGUUACAGGGCGCCAAGUGCUUUUCUAAGAUUGAUUUGAGGUCAGGUUACCACCAAGUGAGGGUCAAAGAAAAAGAUAUACCCAAAACAGCUUUCCGAACAAGGUAUGGUCAUUAUGAGUUUCUAGUUAUGUCAUUUGGGCUAACAAAUGCACCCGCAGCUUUUAUGGAUUUGAUGAAUAGGGUUUUUAAGCCAUUCCUGGAUGUAUUUGUGAUAGUUUUUAUAGAUGAUAUUCUAGUUUAUUCUAGAUCAGAAGAGGACCAUGCCAAUCACUUACGACAGGCAUUGCAGACUCUUCGUGAUUGUAAGCUUUAUGCAAAGUUCUCUAAAUGUGAGUUUUGGUUAAAGUCGGUGGCAUUUUUGGGUCAUAUUGUAUCUAGUGAAGGGAUAAAGGUUGAUGCUCAAAAGAUAGAGGCUGUGAAGAACUGGCCAAGGCCCACAACGCCUACGGAGAUUCGUAGUUUUCUUGGGUUGGCCGGUUAUUAUAGAAGGUUUGUCAAAGACUUUUCUUCCAUUUCAGCACCCUUAACCAAGCUAACCCAUAAAGCAUCCAAAUUCCAAUGGAAUGAUGCCUGUGAGAAGAGUUUUCAAGAUUUAAAGAACAAGUUGAUUUCUACACCCGUGUUGGUACUACCAGAAGGCACCGAAGGGUAUACAGUGUAUUGUGAUGCUUCCAGAAUUGGUUUAGGAUGUGUAUUGAUGCAGCAUGGUAAGGUAAUAGCAUAUGCUUCUAGACAAUUACGGCCACAUGAGAAAAAUUAUCCUACACACGAUCUUGAGCUGGCAGCGGUUAUUUUUGCUUUAAAGAUAUGGCGCCACUACUUAUAUGGGGUUCACGUUGAUAUAUAUACUGACCAUAAGAGCUUGCAAUAUAUUUUUAAUCAGAAGGAUCUAAAUUUAAGGCAGCGGAGAUGGCUUGAACUAUUAAAGGACUAUGAUGUUGAUAUCUUGUACCAUCCAGGGAAAGCAAAUGUGGUAGCUGAUGCGUUAAGUCGUAAGGCUAUGAUGGCGCCUAUAGAAAGGCAAGGGAUGGUUAAAGAUCUUCACCAGUUAGCUAGUUUGGGAGUUCGCCUUCUUGAAACUCCGAAUAAAGAGCUUAUCGUACAUAAUGCUGCGGAAUCUUCAUUAGUAGCUGAAGUGAAAGAGAAGCAAUAUGCAGAUCCUAUUUUAUUACAUCUUAAGGAGAACGUUCAGAGUGGUGCGACCAAGGCAUUUGAGCUUACGCGAGAAGGAGUACUUCAGUGCCAAAACCGAUUGUGUGUGCCGGAUAUAGACGGGCUAAGAAAGAAGAUUAUGACAGAGGCACAUUUUUCAAGGUAUUCCAUUCAUCCAGGAUCAACCAAAAUGUAUCAAGAUUUGAAAGAUAUGUAUUGGUGGAAUGACAUGAAGAAGAGCAUUGCAGAAUUUGUAGCUGAAUGUCCAAAUUGUCAAAGAGUUAAAGUUGAGCACCAAAAACCCGGAGGCUAUAUGCAAUGCAUAGAUCUUCCAAUUUGGAAGUGGGACAUGAUCAACAUGGAUUUUGUUACAGGUUUGCCUCGUACAGCUCGAAAAUUUGAUUCUAUAUGGGUGAUUGUGGAUAGGCUUACUAAAUCCGCACAUUUCUUACCCGUUAAGACCACUUACACAGUUGAAGAAUAUUCGAAGCUGUAUGUUAAAGAAAUAGUCCGAUUACAUGGAGUGCCAACUUCUAUUAUAUCGGAUCGGGGAACUCAAUUUACUGCAAACUUUUGGAAGUCUUUCCAACGGGGUUUGGGAACACAAGUGAAUCUGAGUACAGCUUUUCACCCUCAGACGGAUGGACAAGCAGAGCGCACCAUUCAAACACUUGAAGAUAUGCUACGAGCAUGUGUUAUAGAUUUUAAAGGCAGCUGGGAUGAUCAUUUACCUCUUAUUGAGUUUGCCUACAAUAAUAGCUAUCAUUCAAGUAUCAAAAUGGCACCAUAUGAAGCUUUAUAUGGGAGAAAGUGUAGAUCACCAAUAGGAUGGUUCGAAGCGGGUGAAACUCUUAUGUUCGGACCGGAUCUUGUGUAUCAAGCCAUAGAAAAAGUCAAGGUGAUACAACAACGGCUAAAAACAGCCCAAAGUCGUCAUAAAUCAUAUGCAGAUAUUCGGAGAAGAGGGCUGGAAUUCUCUAUUGGAGAUUGGGUAUUUUUAAAGGUAUCACCAAUGAAAGGGGUUAUGAGAUUUGGUAAAAAAGGGAAACUAAGCCCACGUUACAUAGGGCCAUAUAAGAUUACCAAGAGGGUCGGACAAGUUGCAUAUGAAUUAGAGCUACCCCAGGAACUUUCAAUGGUUCAUCCAGUGUUUCAUGUGUCAAUGCUUCGAAAAUGCAUAGGUGACCCCUCUCGUAUCACUCCUAUAGAAGAUGUACAGGUCACAGAGGAUCUUACUUAUGAAGAGGUACCGGUUGCUAUUCUAGAUCGCCAAGUUAAAAAGUUAAGGAACAAAGAAAUGGCAUCAGUAAAGGUACUUUGGAGAAAUCAACAAAGGGAAGAGAUUACAUGGGAAGCUGAGGAAGCAAUGAAAUCUAAGUACCCUCAUUUGUUCAAAGAUGAAGAGGAAGUUCAAGAAACGGAGUUAGAACAUUAACAAGUAAGUUUUUGUUUAUAUAUGCAUAGUAUUUAUGUGAUGAUGUGAAUGUUAAUGGUGGACUUGAACUUGUUUCGGCUAAAUAACUACAUUCACAUUCGAGGACGAAUGUCCUUAAGGGGGGAAGGAUGUAACACCCCGUACUUAAUUACGUGCAUUAGUCAUUGUUAUAUGUGUUGGGGUAUAUGUAUUGAUCCUAAGUUAGGUAUAUAUGAGUUUAAGUAUGAGUAUUGAUUAUUUUGAGAUGGUUUCAAGUGUAUAGUUUGAUUAUAGGUGUAUAGGAAUCGACUUUAUUUAUAUCGGAAUUUUCCCGUCGAUGGUUCCAUACGAAGGUUAUUGAAUAAGCUUUCCAACGAUAUAAAGAUUUCCAAAAACGGAUAAGUUUCGGAUAUAAGCGAGCUCGUUCGAAACUUUAAAACGGUGGCCGGGAUGUGAACAGUAAAAUGUGCAGGAAACUACUGAGGCCUGCCAGUUUUUUGGGUCAACUUUGAACGAUCAUAACUCCCUCAAUAUAAUGAACUGGUUGAGCUACCAUAUAUCAAAAGAAAGAUCUUUGAGUCUUCUUUCCAAUGAAAUUGGUUUCAUCCAAAUCCAACAUCUGAGUAAGGAGUUAUACUCGUUUUACUUCAGCCUCUCAAAACAGAUUUUUAGGGUCAACUUCAAACGAUCAUAACUACUUGUACAGGACGAACUGGGUGGAUUAAUUUAUAUUAAAUGAAAUACCUUUGAAUUAUCUUUCUAACGAUACCAAUUUCACCCAAAUCCGAUAUCGGAGCAAAGAGUUAUGGCCGAUUUACUUUAGCCUAUCAAAACAGUCCACCAUGGACAGAUUCGGAUUUACUUAAAUUUUUAAGGGCAAUAUGGUCAUUUUCCAUCACCUCUUGAACGAAAAUUGGUCAUUAUAUACAUAUACUUAGCCUCAUAUCCAUUAUUUAUCAUCCAUUAUUGAAAACUAAGAAACCCUAGCCAAAUUUCAACUCCAAUUAUCUUGUGAUUCAACCGUAGAAAAUCCAAAUUGAUUCCGUAGUUGUGUUCACCGUCUCAAGGGCUUCGAGAAGCACCCCUUAUUUGUGCCAACAGGACUUCGAAAUCAAAAGGGCCAUUUUUUUUGGUAAGGAUGUAAAUUAUGUUGGUGUUAUUUAUAUGGAUAUGUAUAUAUAUAUGCAUGUGAGCAUAAGAAGUAUGUUAUUUGAUUGUUGUUGAAAGAUGAUUGGAAAUGAUGUUGGAUUAUUCUUGUGCAUGGUUGGAUUAUGUUAAAUUGUGAAGGAAUUUGGGGUGAUGAUGUGGUAUUGAUGAUGUGGUAUUGAAAUGAUGAUUAUAUAUAUAUAUACACAUAAACCGAUUGUUCAAGUUGGUUUUUGGAAUGUUUUGCAAAUAUUGGUAGUAUGGAAUUAUGGAAGAGAAUUGUGGUGUUGGGUUGCUAAUACUAGAUGCCAAACAUUUCAUUGUAGAUAAGUGAUUUGUAAAGGCGGGAAGUUGUGUUGAAUUGGUAUCCGAAUCUACAACGAGGUAUGUAAAGCAUACUCUAACGAUGUUCUUUGGCAUGAAAACACCAAUGUUCCAUCAAGUAAGAUUCCGAGGUUGUCCAAAAACAUGUAUUGUUCUACAUUACCAACGAAGUUGUUUCCAUUCUAUAAAGUGUCAAAAUGUUUCAUUGAUAUACCGAAAGGCUCCUAUUUCAUUGUUGUGAUAUUGAUGAUUCCGAAACACAUUGUUGAUGUACCAAUGAGUCUUUAUUACAUCGUUAUUGUAUAGAAAGUCUAUUACUUGGUUCCUAUUGAUGUAUCAUUAUUCCAAAGGUACUAUAUUGUCAUGAACACUAAUGUAAUAAUCUCAAAAGCUUUUGAACUAAGUUAUUGGAAAGAUCUCUUAUGUGUGUUACUUGAUAUACGUGUG
rnacentral:lncRNA from 1 species